CGGCGCUGCUCGCCGAGGUCGGGCUCGCCGCCCUGGCCGGUGACGCGGCACUGCGGGCCGCGUACGACGGCUCGGACCUGGUCGGGGUCGG
rnacentral:tRNA from 1 species